rnacentral:rRNA from 1 species
GUGGGGAAUUUUGCGCAAUGGGCGAAAGCCUGACGCAGCAACGCCGCGUGGGUGACGAAGUCCCUUGGGACGUAAAACCCUGUCAGAUGGGACGAAAAAGCCCGCAAGGGUAACUGACUGUACCAUCAGAGGAAGCCCCGGCUAACUCCGUGCCAGCAGCCGCGGUAAUACGGGGGGGGCAAGCGUUGUUCGGAAUUACUGGGCGUAAAGGGCGUGUAGGCGGCCCGGCAAGUCAAUUGUGAAAUCCCCAGGCUCAACUUGGGAAUUGCAACUGAAACUGCCAGGCUGGAGUUCAGGAGAGGAGAGCGGAACUCCCAGUGUAGCGGUGAAAUGCGUAGAUAUUGGGAGGAACACCGGUGGCGAAGGCGGCUCUCUGGACUGAAACUGACGCUGAGGCGCGAAAGCUAGGGGAGCAAACGGGAUUAGAAACCCCAGUAGUCC